rnacentral:rRNA from 1 species
GGGCCCGCACAAGCGGCGGAGCAUGCGGAUUAAUUCGAUGCAACGCGAAGAACCUUACCAAGGCUUGACAUGUGCCAGACCGCCGUGGAAACACGGUUUCCCCUUUGGGGCUGGUUCACAGGUGGUGCAUGGUUGUCGUCAGCUCGUGUCGUGAGAUGUUGGGUUAAGUCCCGCAACGAGCGCAACCCUCGUUCCAUGUUGCCAGCGCGUAAUGGCGGGGACUCAUGGGAGACUGCCGGGGUCAACUCGGAGGAAGGUGGGGACGACGUCAAAUCAUCAUGCCCCUUAUGUCUUGGGCUUCACGCAUGCUACAAUGGCCGGUACAAAGGGUUGCGAUACUGUGAGGUGGAGCUAAUCCCAAAAAGCCGGUCUCAGUUCGGAUUGGGGUCUGCAACUCGACCCCAUGAAGUCGGAGUCGCUAGUAAUCGCAGAUCAGCAACGCUGCGGUGAAUACGUUCCCGGGCCUUGUACACACCGCCCGUCAAGUCACGAAAGUUGGUAACACCCGAAGCCGGUGGCCUAACCCCUUGUGGGAGGGGGCCGUCGAAGGUGGGACCGGCGAUU